rnacentral:rRNA from 1 species
AGCGAACGCUGGCGGCAGGCCUAACACAUGCAAGUCGAACGGACCCUUCGGGGUUAGUGGCGGACGGGUGAGUAACACGUGGGAACGUGCCUUUAGGUUCGGAAUAGCUCCUGGAAACGGGUGGUAAUGCCGAAUGUGCCCUUCGGGGGAAAGAUUUAUCGCCUUUAGAGCGGCCCGCGUCUGCUUAGCUAGUUGGUGGGGUAAUGGCCCACCAAGGCUACGAUCAGUAGCUGGUCGGAGAGGAUGACCAGCCACAUUAGGACUGAGACACGGCCCAAACUCCGACGGGAGGCAGCAGUGGGGAAUCUUGCGCAAUGGGCGAAAGCCUGACGCAGCUAUGCCGCGUGGAUGAUGAAGGUCUUAGGAUUGUAAAAUCCUUUCACCGGUGAAGAUAAUGACUGUAGCCGGAGAAGAAGCCCCGGCUAACUUCGUGCCAGCAGCCGCCGUAAAAC